rnacentral:misc_RNA from 1 species
AUUGUUUUCUAGUGGUGAUUUGUUGAACACUGUAACUUAAUGACUAAUUGGCUCAUCGACGAUGUGUCUUUUAUUUCGGAUUAUACCCACAUAAGCUUUACGCUUAUGAACAAUGGAUGAAAUGAUGAUGAGGUGAUUAAACAACCGCCAACACAACCUGCCUACCGGCGGGAUUCGGACCCACGACCAGGCAGCGCCAGCAGACAGAAGGUUGCAACGCCUCAGUCAACUUAGCUGUUUUUCAAAUCAUCAAAUUAUACCAUUUCCCGUGAUGGACUCAGCCAUACUUGAAAUCACAGAUUUUAUACUAUUUUGCGUCUUGCCAGUAUUUUCGUGAACGACCAGGCCAAAAAUAUUCAACUUCAGAGAAGGUACUGAGGACUGAGAGACUGAAAAUCAAAGAUUCUGAUGACAAAAUUUCUUUGAAGAAUUUGGAAAACACAAACAACAUCAAUGCUUUUUUGGAAUGCAUGUCAUGUAUUGCAAUAGCAAAAGAAUUGAGCAAGGCUAUAUGCCUGCACAAUGAAAGAUUUGAAAAGGUUUCACAUAUGAGGAGAGAUGAUGUUCCAUGUUUUCUUGAUUUAGAGGAUGUUUGCACUCAUAACUUUAUUGGAUUUGAUCUUCAAGACAAAAAAUCCAUUAGAGUAUUAGCGCCUUCAAGUUUUAAUGGCAGACAUGUACCGGUGCAAAAUAUAAACUGGAAUAAAAAGUAACAUCAAUUUUCUACUUCGAAAUUGGAGGAGUUGUGCCUUGUCUAUGUGUCACAUUAUGGAAUAGAAAACAUUCACCAGGAACUAAUCACAAAUUCAGAUUCAGGCCUAAUUGAUGAACUUUGCAAGUAAAUCAUUUUCUAUCUAAUCAAUUUGGGAUAGAUUGAUGAUUAAAAAUAUUUGUUUCUUGGUUUUCUGUUAAUUGAGUGAAUGCAUACUAAAACUAACCAAACUACUUUUUGAAAGUUCUCAAAAUCUUGGUG